ensembl:lncRNA
CCUCUCCAUAUGGGUGAUCUGAUUUCCCACGACUCUGUUGGGCCUGUGUGUCCUUUUUCUAAUUUCUUGUGACAAUGUACCAACCUGGGUGAUCCUCGGUUCGGUCGACCAGUAUUGCGGCGCUGAGCGUUUGCUCUUGUGGUCUGUGUGACGUGUCUUUCCACCGGAACUAUUCCGGUUUUAACUUUCGGGCUCGGAAACCUCGCCGACUCUGCAAGGUCCGUACACCAGGAGACUGAAUGUUUCGCUCUCGCGGACUUGCAGUUCUCCCCUGAGAGCAAAGAUGGCGCACCACGCCUCAUCUCUCACAAGGCGCAGCCAUCUUGCCUGGACUCUUCUGUGUUCCAAGGAGGAAGGAGUCCGCGCUCGUGACGCACGGACGUAAAGAGCAUAAAAGGCGCAGGAACCUUCCAGUCCUUCCAUUUUCUUCUCCCAUCCAACCGAGGAUGCCGACGACUCGAAUGUGCUGCUCUGAAAUGCAGGACAGAUGCCGUGAAGUCCAGCAGAGUGACACGUCUGCAUUACUUGUGACAUGACUUCAAGGCAUCUGAACAGAAUCUCCACUUCCAUUCUGGAAUAGGAAUGUGUGCUGAAUACCUGAUUCCAGACAAGGAGACUGAUGCACUUUGUGAAAAUCCAGGUUGGUGAAAUGUUAAAACACUGACAUUUGAAAUAGUACCCCACUUCCCUUUAUAGUGCCCUACCUUAGACCAGGACCCAUGUACUAUAAAGGCAACAUGGUGACUUUGGAUGAAGGCAAUUUCACCUUUUGGCUGGCCAACUGUACAAGAUGGCUACCGGGAUGUGCUACAGUCCCAAUGAUGAUGAACUUAGCUCACUUUGAACCGAUGUGAAACGACAUGAACUACUGAGUGACUGUAGCUAAUGCACCAGUUGUAUGUUUAAAUGUUUUUUACAGCA